UAUAUCUAACACCAUAAACGAAUAAAACGGAAGUAGGUGAAAUAAUAUAUACAACAGUAGGCCGAGCAACGAAAAUGACAGAGCUGUACUGAAACACAAGGAAGCAAAUGGAAAAUUAGUACUCCACGGCGUCGUUUGUCUGCGAUAAUUUAGUAAUGAAAGACACACGAUCGAAAAAAUUUUACCUUCGAAUGGAUUCCUUUCCUGCUCAAGACUGACAUCCAUACAAGAAGGUUGCCAGCAGUUCCUGGUUGAAACAAACAUAAACCGUAGAGGCAUUACAAUUAAUUAAAUGGUGAAGGUAUAAUGCUUUUUAAAACAAAAUGAGGACUCAAAACAGAAGGGCGUUUUAGCCGGAAGAAAAUAUAUAUAUCAACAGCUGUGAUAGUAUAGUCUGAUGUCGCUUCCAACGCGCACUUUCCUGCAGAUUCUCAAUUACAAUUAUUUGUGAAACUCUUCCACUAUUAUUACUUUACACGCUUCGUAAUGUGCAUCUUGUCGUCGUCCCUCUACAUUUGUUUUAAAUAUUCUAUUGGCUUAUUACUCGAAUAUCCACGUUGGGUGUCGCAUCUUGAUAGUCCGGAUCCGUCGGAGGAAAAAUUUGACUCGUCUUAAAAGUUACCGGUAGCAUGCCAGCAGCGGAUGUAAUAUUU